rnacentral:rRNA from 1 species
UACGGAGGGGGCCAGCGUUGUUCGGAAUUAUUGGGCGUAAAGGGCGCGUAGGCGGUCGGGUAAGUCUGACGUGAAAUCCCUUGGCUCAACCAAGGAACUGCGUCUUAAACUGCCCGGCUUGAGUCCGGGAGAGGGUAGUGGAAUUCCCAGUGUAGCGGUGAAAUGCGUAGAUAUUGAGAGGAACACCGGUGGCGAAGGCGGCUACCUGGACCGGUACUGACGCUGAGGCGCGAAAGCUAGGGUAGCAAACAGG